GACGAACGCUGGCGGCGCGCCUAACACAUGCAAGUCGAACGAAGCACCUUGAUUUGAUUCUUCGGAUGAAGAUUUUGGUGACUGAGUGGCGGACGGGUGAGUAACGCGUGGGUAACCUGCCUCAUACAGGGGGAUAACAGUUAGAAAUGACUGCUAAUACCGCAUGAGACCACAGCACCGCAUGGUGCAGGGGUAAAAACUCCGGUGGUAUGAGAUGGACCCGCGUCUGAUUAGGUAGUUGGUGGGGUAACGGCCUACCAAGCCGACGAUCAGUAGCCGACCUGAGAGGGUGACCGGCCACAUUGGGACUGAGACACGGCCCAA
rnacentral:rRNA from 1 species